rnacentral:rRNA from 1 species
UCCUGGCUCAGAUUGAACGCUGGCGGCAUGCCUUACACAUGCAAGUCGAACGGCAGCGGACCUUCGGGUGCCGGCGAGUGGCGAACGGGUGAGUAAUAUAUCGGAACGUACCUUUCAGUGGGGGAUAACGUAGCGAAAGUUACGCUAAUACCGCAUAUUCUGUGAGCAGGAAAGCAGGGGAUCGCAAGACCUUGCGCUGAUUGAGCGGCCGAUAUCAGAUUAGCUAGUUGGUGAGGUAAAGGCUCACCAAGGCGACGAUCUGUAGCGGGGUCUGAGAGGAUGAUCCGCCACACUGGAACUGAGACACGGUCCAGACUCCUACGGGAGGCAGCAGUGGGGAAUUUUGGACAAUGGGCGCAAGCCUGAUCCAGCCAUGCCGCGUGAGUGAAGAAGGCCUUCGGGUUGUAAAGCUCUUUCGGCCGGGAAGAAAUCGCACAGGUUAAUACCCUGUGUGGAUGACGGUACCGGAAUAAGAAGCACCGGCUAACUACGUG